AAAACUACACUAUCAGGGAUCAUUUCUUUAGUUUCAGAUUUGAGAAAUGUGUUUGUACAGUUUGGUCUGGCUAUCCAUGAUGAAGAGUUCAGAUGUUUCCUUCAGAGCAGGAAGCUGGUGGAAAGACUGAGUUUCUUUUCCACUGUUGAAGAUUGUUCAGUGUCUGUGAAUGAGACUCUGAUGGAGGAAACAUGAUCUGAGUGGA
rnacentral:snoRNA from 1 species